ACUGUUAGCAGGUGGGAUAGAAGGCUACACUGACCAUAGACUGUUAACAGGGGGGAUAGAAGGCUACACUGACCAUAGACUGUUAACAGGGGGGAUAGAAGGCUACACUGACCAUAGACUGUUAACAGGGGGGAUAGAAGGCUACACUGACCAUAGACUGUUAACAGGGGGGAUAGAAGGCUACACUGACCAUAGACUGUUAACAGGGGGGAUAGAAGGCUACACUGACCAUAGACUGUUAACAGGUGGGAUAGAAGGCUACACUGACCAUAGACUGUUAACAGGGGGGAUAGAAGGCUACACUGACCAUAGACUGUUAACAGGGGGGAUAGAAGGCUACACUGACCAUAGACUGUUAACAGGGGGGAUAGAAGGCUACACUGACCAUAGACUGUUAACAGGGGGGAUAGAAGGCUACACUGACCAUAGACUGUUAACAGGGGGGAUAGAAGGCUACACUGACCAUAGACUGUUAGCAGGGGGGAUAGAAGGCUACACUGACCAUAGACUGUUAACAGGGGGGAUAGAAGGCUACACUGACCAUAGACUGUUAACAGGGGGGAUAGAAGGCUACACUGACCAUAGACUGUUAACAGGGGGGAUAGAAGGCUACACUGACCAUAGACUGUUAGCAGGGGGGAUAGAAGGCUACACUGACCAUAGACUGUUAACAGGGGGGAUAGAAGGCUACACUGACCAUAGACUGUUAACAGGUGGGAUAGAAGGCUACACUGACCAUAGACUGUUAACAGGGGGGAUAGAAGGCUACACUGACCAUAGACUGUUAACAGGGGGGAUAGAAGGCUACACUGACCAUAGACUGUUAACAGGGGGGAUAGAAGGCUACACUGACCAUAG